AGAAAAACCCAAAGAAAAACCCAAAGAAAAACCUAAACAAAAACCCCAAAAAAAAUAGAUUUAAUUGCAACACACGCUGGCGACGGCGACGGCAACGGCGACGGCGUCGGCGUCGGCGUGGUGCCGGUGCAACUUCAUUCGAGCAAAUUGUAUGGUCGAGAGGCACUGCGAGGCGAUUGCGCAGCGAGGCUUUAGAACUGCGUGAGCCACGAUGAAUGUGGCGCUUCUGACCGUAGAGUACACAGUCUGUGCUGACACCCGCUGUAGAUGUUCAAUAGAAACAUACUAAUCGUGCCGUUAUACUGAAAUAAAAGAAAAAAAUAUGAGACUACCAAACAAUAAAUAUUUCUUUAUGAAAGUGACGGCUGCCUGAUUGACCAUCGUGACACACCAGGUGCAAGCACCCUUGUACCAAAAAAAUUAAGCCAUUGUGCUUGCUCUCCGUGGACGACAUGGGUCUACUUAUUAAUAUGUAUAGGUAUAUAACCAACACACGACACAUGGCUACACUGGACAAUGUCGUUUCUAAUCACAACAGCCACACCGUUAAGCCUGAAUCUAAUCCAGCGAUGCGUUCUCUAUACCUAUAUUAUAUCUAUAACGUGUAUGUUGGAAAGGGGAACGAAUAUGUUGAAUUAAAAUACGAAGUUACUUAAAUCAACCCUGUUUUAUUAGUCUGUAAUUUUUACAGAUUAUAAUUAAUUAUCUAGAAUGAAUUAUCCGAACUAGUUUAGGACAAGCUUCACAGCUAGGUGAACAUAUGUUAGAACAUAUGCACCGUGUCACUGCUCCGCUGCGCGCUGCAUUUAUACCGUUGGCACAACAAGCCGCCUACUCCUGCACGCGUUGUUUACAGUUUUAUGUGUCAUUAUAGGAAGCGUCCGAUGGCGCCACCGUCCUGUACGGACAACAGCGCAUCAGACUACACAUUUUUGUUCAAAAAUCGCCUCCAGUGCAACGGAACACGAUGCGUCAAUGUGUAUUUCGAUGUGCUGUUGACUGUACAUAUUCAUGUUUUGAUCAAAAAUGAAACCAGCUUAAUUUCUUGGAUUAAAAAAUGCAAACUCCACGAACUGUCUUAUCAUUUAUACAAAUUUUAUUGAAACUUCUUGUAUAGUAUUAACAAACGGUGCUCAUAAUUCAUAAAGUUUGUACUAGCUAUAUCUAUUACGUCCUUAUUACGCAUUUUUAUUUGAAUAAAU